rnacentral:rRNA from 1 species
GAUGAACGCUGGCGGCGUACCUAACGCAUGCAAGUCGAACGGGGAGUGAGUAGCAAUAACGAAAUUACCUAGUGGCAAACGGGUAGGAGUAACACGUAGGGAGUCUACCUUGGAGUGGGGAAGUAACGAGCCGAAAGGUUCGCUAAUACCGCAUACGGUUGAGAAACGAAAGGUAACGAAAGUUAUCGCUCUAAGAGGAGCCUGCGGAUCGAUCAGGUAGGUUGGUGAGGUAACAGCUCACCAAGCCGAUGACCGA